AUGACUUUUUUGGCCACACAGAAAAGGUUUGGCCUUAACAUAGAUCGAUGGUUGACAAUCAAAAGUGCUGAACAAGAUUCCUGCUCGAUGCCAUCCUUUUGAAAAAGAAUGGAUAGAAUGUGCACAUGGAAUCGGUAGUAUUCAGGCAGAGAAAGAGUGCAAAAUAGAAUAUGAUGAUUUCAUAGAGUGUAUACUUCAGCAGAAAACGAUGAGACCUAUGAGUACCAUCAGGAAGCAGCGGGAUAAGCUGAUAAAGGAAGGGAAGUACACCCCUCCACCUCACCAUGUGAGCAAGGGUUUAUCACUAACGUGA